rnacentral:tRNA from 1 species
GGUGGUUCAAUGGUAGAAUUCUCGCCUUCUAUGCAGGAGACCCAGGUUUGAGACCUGGCC